rnacentral:lncRNA from 1 species
CACGGGGAGGGCGCGCGGGGCCGGGGGCCAGCCUGCCCGCCCGCGCCUCCGGGCUGCUCCAUAUUAAUGAGCCUGGCCCCUUCCUCCUCCUCCUCCUCCUCCUCCUGCUCCGCAGGCUGCCAGGGGCACGCCGGGGCGGCAGUCGGGGCUCCGCACACCCGAGCGCCGGGCCAGCACCGCCGUGGGCUCGUGCCCCCUCGCCAUGGCCGGCUCCGCGGGCAGCCUCCCGCUCUGCCUCCUCCUGCUCCAGGCCGCCGGCCUCGGCCUGGCCCAGCUCCGAGGGCCGCCAGGAGAGCCCGGCCCGCGAGGGCCCCCCGGUCCGCCAGGAGUGCCGGGAGCCGACGGCAUCGACGGUGACAAAGGCUCGCCGGGAGCACCGGGGCCCUCGGGUGCCAAGGGGGAGCCCGGCGCGCCCGGUCCGGACGGGCCCCCAGGGAAGCCGGGCAUCGACGGCCUGACAGGAGCGAAAGGGGAACCGGGGCCCAUCGGCGGGCCAGGAGUUAAAGUAAGUGCGGCUGCGGCGCGGCAGUGGUGCGGCGUCGGGCUGCGGCAGGCACCAAGGCUCCGUCCAGCACGGUGGUGACCACGUGCAGCUGGUGCACGGCGCGGGCUCCCCCGCUUUGCACAGCACCCUGCGCCCUGCAGCGCGCCGAUGGCCGGCUGCCGAUCCGGCUCCUGACUCUCCCCUUCUGUCCCGACAGGGCCAGCCCGGACUCCCAGGGCCGCCGGGGCUCCCCGUGAGUAAUCCGCCCGUCCGCUGGGAUGCAGGGAGCCCCGAGCAGGGCUGGGGUCCCCCGCUCUCCCCUCGC